GUCCAGACUCCUACGGGAGGCAGCAGUGGGGAAUAUUGCACAAUGGGGGAAACCCUGAUGCAGCGACGCCGCGUGAGCGAUGAAGUAUUUCGGUAUGUAAAGCUCUAUCAGCAGGGAAGAAGAUGACGGUACCUGACUAAGAAGCCCCGGCUAACUACGUGCCAGCAGCCGCGGUAAUACGUAGGGGGCAAGCGUUAUCCGGAUUUACUGGGUGUAAAGGGAGCGUAGACGGCGAUGCAAGCCAGAUGUGAAAGCCCGGGGCUCAACCCCGGGACUGCAUUUGGAACUGUGUGGCUGGAGUGUCGGAGAGGCAGGCGGAAUUCCUAGUGUAGCGGUGAAAUGCGUAGAUAUUAGGAGGAACACCAGUGGCGAAGGCGGCCUGCUGGACGAUGACUGACGUUGAGGCUCGAAAGCGUGGGGAGCAAACAGGAUUAGAUACCCCCGUAUCA
rnacentral:rRNA from 1 species